rnacentral:rRNA from 1 species
UACGAAGGGGGCUAGCGUUGCUCGGAAUCACUGGGCGUAAAGCGCACGUAGGCGGAUUGCUAAGUCAGGGGUGAAAUCCUGGAGCUCAACUCCAGAACUGCCUUCGAUACUGAGGAUCUCGAGUCCGGGAGAGGUGAGUGGAACUGCGAGUGUAGAGGUGAAAUUCGUAGAUAUUCGCAAGAACACCAGUGGCGAAGGCGGCUCACUGGCCCGGUACUGACGCUGAGGUGGCGAAAGCGUGGGGAGCAAACAGG